ensembl:lncRNA
ACACAGACAGACAGACAGACACACAGACAGACACACAGAGACAGGUAGACACACACACACACAGACAGGUAGACACAUACAGACAGGUAGACACACACACAGACAGACACACACACACACAGACAGAGACACACACAGACAGAGACAGACAGACAGACAGACAGAGACAGACAGACACACACAGACAGAGACAGACAGACAGACACACACACAGACAGACACACACACACACAGACAGACAGACACACACACAGACAGACACACACAGACACACACAGACAGACACACACACACACAGACAGACACACACACAGACAGACAGACACACACACACAGACAGACACACACACACAGACAGACACACACAGACACACAGAGACAGACACACACACACA